GUAGUUUGAUCAUGCUCAGGAUGAACGCUGGCGGCGUGCCUAAUACAUGCAAGUCGAGCGAACGGACGAGAAGCUUGCUUCUCUGAUGUUAGCGGCGGACGGGUGAGUAACACGUGGAUAACCUACCUAUAAGACUGGGAUAACUUCGGGAAACCGGAGCUAAUACCGGAUAAUAUUUUGAACCGCAUGGUUCAAAAGUGAAAGACGGUC
rnacentral:rRNA from 1 species